rnacentral:rRNA from 1 species
ACUGAAUAGAUACCCGGGUAGUCCACGCCCUAAACGAUGCAUAUUUGGUGUGGGCAGUUCAUUCUGUCCGUGCCGGAGCUAACGCGUUAAAUAUGCCGCCUGGGGAGUACAGUCGCAAGGCUGAAACUCAAAGGAAUUGACGGGGGCCCGCACAAGCGGUGGAGCAUGUGGUUCAAUUCGACGCAACGCGAAGAACCUUACCUGGGCUCGAACGGCUGGUCAACGGAGGUGGAAACAUCUUUACCCCGCAAGGGGGUCCAGUCGAGGUGCUGCAUGGCUGUCGUCAGCUCGUGUCGUGAGAUGUUGGGUUAAGUCCCGCAACGAGCGCAACCCUUGUCCUGUGUUGCCAUCAUUCAGUUGGGAACUCGCAGGAGACCGCCAGGGAUAACCUGGAGGAAGGUGGGGAUGACGUCAAGUCCUCAUGGCCUUUAUGUCCAGGGCUACACACGUGCUACAAUGGACGGUACAAAGCGCAGCAAACCCGCGAGGGGUAGCCAAUCGCAAAAACCC